rnacentral:lncRNA from 1 species
AAACCCAAGCAAUGUGGCCCAUUGGUCAUUUUCUAUCCGAAGGCAAACUUGGAAGAAGUCACAUCACAAGCAAGUCCUCCAUAGGUCCUUCGUAAAUUUCAGCUAUUGAAUACGACGCCUGUUUCAGCAUAUCUGAGGUUUGGCUUGGCUUAAGAAUAAGCAUGAGCGAUGAACCGAGAUGAAAAAAAGGAAGCACAUUUUUUGGGCUGCUGAACCAGAACUACAAUCUUUCACUUUUGCGAUUUGUUAGAAAAUUAUUCUCAAGAACCGGAAUAUGUUGAUGGAAAAAGCUACUCGAAAGAAUUAAAACGGGCUUAAACAUGAAUGACCCCACCAGGGAGACCCUAACAAGAUAAGUAUUCUUUCACUGCGAGGAAUUAUGCUCCUUAAUCCUCUGUUUCUGUGGGUAGUAUUCAUUCACGCUUCAACUUGAUCUAGGCUCAUUUAAUCCAGAUUCAGACUAUCCAAGACGAAGUGUUACGAAGAGAGCAUUAGAAUACAGAUCCCCACCAUCAGAAUACAAAUUUUGUCUGGCCAUUGAACCACCAGUCACUUGCUAUUCGAAGGCAAAUUUGGAUGAGAUUGCAUUUCUCUUAGGAGCAAUAUCUCCAAAGGUCCUCCAGAAAGUUGAAUGGGGUUUCAUCGAGAAAAUCGAGUUUUCUGUACGCGAAAUUAUUGAGACUUUGGCGGACGAAAACUAUAAACAGAGAAGCAGAGAUGCCGAGAGAAACACCUAGACAUCAACCUGCCAGCGAUUUAGAGAUCUGGAAAAUAGCCGAACCUAAGAGCUCAAUCCAGAAGCAGGAACGAAGGCCGUCGGCAGCCUCGGGAAGACUUAUUAUCGCAGGAUUCAUACGACGGCUGAAUCCCACCAAAUCCCGAACCAGCAGUCCAAACAAGUAUUGAGAAAAGGGCGGAGGGAGGAUACCGCUAUCAACUGUUGCAACGGGAUUCCCACAGUCAAAUAGAGAAGAGGCUUAUCCCUAGGGCAAACAUCGCGUCGCAACGUCCCAUAAACAGGCAGGAAAGAAGCCCCGAUGCUAAGUCUCCCCCGUCGACAAAUACUAAGGUAGAGAGAAUCUCUCAACUGUCUCCAUCUCGUCACGGCGCCAGUAUUAAUAGUCUCAAGUCCGCUAAACCCUAACCCUGAAUCACCUCUCC